CCCUUAGAUGUCCGGGGCCGCACGCGCGCUACACUGAAGGAAUCAGCGUGGCUCUGUCCCUGGUCCGAAAGGAUUGGGAAACCCGUUGAAUCUCCUUCGUGAUAGGGAUUGGGGCUUGGAACUGUUCCCCAUGAACGAGGAAUUCCCAGUAAGCGCGAGUCAUAAGCUCGCGUUGAUUACGUCCCUGCCCUUUGUACACACCGCCCGUCGCUACUACCGAUUGAAUGGUCCGGUGAAAUCUCGGGACGGCGGCUUGGUCGCUUGCGUCCGACUGCUGAAACUUGAUUAAACCAUAUCAUUUAGAGGAAGGUGAAGUCGUAACA
rnacentral:rRNA from 1 species